rnacentral:rRNA from 1 species
ACGGAGCAACGCCGCGUGAGUGAUGAAGGUCUUCGGAUCGUAAAACUCUGUUAUCAGGGUAAGAACAAAUGUGUAAGUAACUGUGCACAUCUUGACGGUACCUGAUCAGAAAGCCACGGCUAACUACGUGCCAGCAGCCGCGGUAAUACGUAGGUGGCAAGCGUUAUCCGGAAUUAUUGGGCGUAAAGCGCGCGUAGGCGGUUUUUUAAGUCUGAUGUGAAAGCCCACGGCUCAACCGUGGAGGGUCAUUGGAAACUGGAAAACUUGAGUGCAGAAGAGGAAAGUGGAAUUCCAUGUGUAGCGGUGAAAUGCGCAGAGAUAUGGAGGAACACCAGUGGCGAAGGCGACUUUCUGGUCUGUAACUGACGCUGAUGUGCGAAAGCGUGGGGAUCAAACAGGAUUAGAUACCCUGGUAGUCCACGCCGUAAACGAUGAGUGCUAAGUGUUAGGGGGUUUCCGCCCCUUAGUGCUGCAGCUAACGCAUUAAGCACUCCGCCUGGGGAGUACGACCGCAAGGUUGAAACUCAAAGGAAUUUGAC